GCUCGUGUGGCUCAGUGGCAGAGUUUUCCACUCGUACGCGUUUAAAACGGCUGAUGGAAGGGUCCUGUGUUCAAUCCACAGCUCGAGCA